AAGAUUUUAAGUUAAGUAAAACUAAUAACCUUCAAAGUUACAAAUAAAUAAGAAUUUUUUAAGUCUUA
rnacentral:tRNA from 1 species